rnacentral:rRNA from 1 species
GACGAACGCUGGCGGCGUGCCUAAUACAUGCAAGUAGAACGCUGAAGGAGGAGCUUGCUUCUCUGGAUGAGUUGCGAACGGGUGAGUAACGCGUAGGUAACCUGCCUGGUAGCGGGGGAUAACUAUUGGAAACGAUAGCUAAUACCGCAUAAUAGCAGUUAUUGCAUGAUAACUGUUUGAAAGGUGCAAUUGCACCACUACCAGAUGGACCUGCGUUGUAUUAGCUAGUUGGUGGGGUAACGGCUCACCAAGGCGACGAUACAUAGCCGACCUGAGAGGGUGAUAGGCCAAACUGGGACUGAGACCAGGCCCAGACUCCUACGGGAGGCAGCAGUAGGGAAUCUUAGGAAAUGGACGGAAGACUGACCGAGCAACGCCGCGUGAGUGAAGAAAGGUUUCGGAUCGUAAAGCUCUGUUGUGAGAGAAGAACGAGUGUGAGAGUGGAAAGUUCACAAUGUGACGGUAUCUAAACAGAAAGCGACGGCUAACUACGUG